UAGGGAAUCUUCGGCAAUGGACGAAAGUCUGACCGAGCAACGCCGCGUGAGUGAAGAAGGUUUUCGGAUCGUAAAACUCUGUUGUUAGAGAAGAACAAGGACGUUAGUAACUGAACGUCCCCUGACGGUAUCUAACCAGAAAGCCACGGCUAACUACGUGCCAGCAGCCGCGGUAAUACGUAGGUGGCAAGCGUUGUCCGGGUUUAUUGGGCGUAAAGCGAGCGCAGGCGGUUUCUUAAGUCUGAUGUGAAAGCCCCCGGCUCAACCGGGGAGGGUAAUUGGAAACUGGGAGACUUGAGUGCCGAAAAGGAUAGUGGAAUUCCAUGUGUAGCGGGGAAAUGCGAAGAUAUAUUGGGGAACACCAGUGGCGAAGGCGGCUCUCUGGUCUGUAACUGACGCUGAGCCUCGAAAGCGUGGGGAGCAAACGGA
rnacentral:rRNA from 1 species